UAUGCAGCAAGCACACACUCAGCACCUACCCCUCAGGCUCUACGCUGGACACAAGUGUGGCUACAUCCAGUUAUCAUCACCAUUUUACAGGAGAGGAAAGUGAGGCUCACAUUAGUCAGCUUGCCCAAGAUCCAUCACAGAGUCAGCAAUGAGGAUUCAAAGCAGGUUGUCAGGUCUCAGAGCUUGCCUGUCUAAUGUCGGAUGUGUUGUGUGAAGCUUGUGCCUCCUGGAUGGGUCUAAAGCCCCUUGCAAUGCCCAGCACGCACUGGUGCUGUUGGAAAGUCAAGAGAAACCUGCUCAGAGGCAGCAUGAGUCCUAUCUCUUCAGGAGGCCCCGGGUGAUGGUCACAGCCCAGCUUCAGAGCCCGCAGCGCGGACUUGAAUUGCAAUGCUCUCAUUUAUCCUCCACAGGACGCUUGUCUCCUCUGCCUUGAUUCCUGUGUCUGAACAAUGGAGGCAGCAAUGACACACAGG